GACGAACGCUGGCGGCGUGCUUAACACAUGCAAGUCGAACGGUGAAGCACCUUCCUUUUGGUGGGUGUGGAUGAGUGGCGAACGGGUGAGUAACACGUGAGUAACCUGCCCCCUUCUUCUGGAUAACCGCAUGAAAGUGUGGCUAAUACGGGAUAUUCUGUGCCUGCUGCAUGGUGGGUGUGGGAAAGAUGCGCUUUUGGGUGUUUUUGGUGGGGGAUGGGCUCGCGGCCUAUCAGCUUGUUGGUGGGGUGAUGGCCUACCAAGGCGGUGACGGGUAGCCGGCCUGGGGGGGUGGACGGUCCAACUGGGACUGGGAACCGGCCCAGACCCUUACGGGAGGAAGCAGUGGGGAAAUGUGGAAAAGGGGGGCAAGCCUGAUGCAGGGACCCCGGGGGGGGGAUGGGGGCCUUGGGGUUGUAACCCUUUUUCGCCAGGGAAGCGGGCCUGUCCCUUGUGGGGGGUUUGACGGUAGCUGGAAAAGAAGCCCCGGCUAACUACGU
rnacentral:rRNA from 1 species